GGGUGCGAACAUUUUUCAUUUCUGAAAGAAUCACAAUUAUGAGAUGUGAUUCCGGCUCUUUCGGAGCACGUGUGCUUAACAGAACUAGCCAAAGAGAUCAAGACAGUGAAUCUAUAUUCAACAACGACCCCUGAAAACAGCAGCUUUGUGUCACCGGCAUGAGAGGGUGGUGCAGACAUUUUAUCUUGCCCAGGAGCUUGGAAAAGAAGGCAAACCGUUAAUUAGAAUACGUCAGAAGAAUCAGCAGACAAAGCAAGAAUGUGGAUAUCAACCACCCAAAAAGGCCAAGAACCCUGGACGAUAAUCUCGAACUCUCCAGACUAAUUUUCUUCCCAAGGCCUUGUAGAAUGUUUCCCACCGAAAGGUAAGAAAUUAUUGAAGAACGAAUAAUAUCUGAUAUUCAAGGUCAGAGACAUUUACAAACUGUCCCCAAAUUCAAGCAUAUUUUUCUACAGAACUUUUCUAAAUUCACUCUGCAGCUCACUAACAGAAAAGUGUGGAAAGAAGAGCAUUCCCAGGCCGGGGUAGAUAUGGGGGGACAUGUGGGGAGGAGAAGACAUCAUAGUCCAUGAUCUGCUAGGAGUAAUGUUGUUGACUCUAAGAAUGGCACCAUAUUAUUUUGACUAUCAAAUGAGAUAAAGUAUAAUAUUCUUUGUAAACUAUUAUGAUGCUACUAGCUUCAUGUAUUAAAAUUAGCAGUCAUUGAGAGUGAUCUUUGUAAUUUUUGUUUCUUGCAUUUUUCCUGCCACUAUUAUUUUUUUAAGCUUAUUUAUUUAUUUUUGAGA